CCCUGAUUUGCCUCCAUUUGCUCCCUUAGUUCAGAAGCCGAGACUUGAAAGCUGUCCUGUGGAGGAUAAAAGACACAUCAGCUGGCUGAACAUUUGUAAGAGCCUCAUAAAGCGACAUCUUCAGCAUGAAGCAGCUGACUGGAGCCAGACGCAGAAUUAUUUCAACACCUGUUGAAACAAGCUGUCUUGGGUCAGGUCCAACCUGUUGGUAACAGCUGGGUGCUGGAGCACAGAAUCAGCCAUGGCAGGGACCAGAAAUGCCACCAAAGUCAUUGCAAGGGACAGAGUUAAGUUUGUUUGAAAACGAGGAACCUGUGCUGACCGCGUGGUGAAAAAUGCUUCCUACAUAUCUUUCUAGAUAAGAACAUUACUGAGAGGAACCGCAUUAUUGAUUCUAUAUUCAUUGAAGUUGUUAUGAAGAUUCCCAGAUGUCAACACCACAAGAUGGAAACCACUUCUAAAUGUACAGCUUGAGUGAAGAAUACACGGACAGAGAUUAUUUAAAAUACGCUUGGGAUGAUCAGCACAUCCAGUUUUAGAAAAUGUAUUUUUGGUGAAGCAUUAAUAUUUAAUUAUACUACAGAGAAGCUGUUUGAACACUUAGAAAGAAUUGGGCCGUUUUUAGAGGCCGUACUCCUGCUUAAAUGUUGCAUCCAAUGGACAGUGGUUCUUUUUGCCACAUGUACAGCAUUUACCGUGUUCCAUAACACAACUUAUCUGAUACCCUCGGGAUGUGAUGCAAGAUAGCACAUGACCAUUCUGAAGCCUGUGGUGCACAUAAUGCUAUCUUCCAGCCAGGCAAAAAUCUCCAUCAACUGCAAGAGGGGCCAAUAAGGAGCAUCUCAGUUAUCCUCACCUGAAUUCAGAAACUUCCUUCACUGUAAAUCCCACUCAGACAAAAGAAAGCAGCAAAUUGUCAAUUGGGUUGCGGGGCAUUUUUUACCAGUGCCAGUCUGUCCUUGGAAAAAAUGGCCUAUUCUGGUUUUCAAUGUUUUUAGUUAAAAUUUGUCUCAUUUGAGGAUCAUCUGAUGCCCGUUGUCUGACAACUCUUAGAAAAAAUAAAUAUUCAUAUAAUUCUAUUCUUAAGUUUCGAGCAAGGUUGACAAUUGUAUAUUUACAAAACAAACAACCACAAAACCCACAAACCCACCCACACAAACCACACAUACAAGCACACCGAGAGCAUGAACC
ensembl:lncRNA